GACGAACGCUGGCGGCGUGCCUAAUACAUGCAAGUAGAACGCACAGUUUAUACCGUAGCUUGCUACACCAUAGACUGUGAGUUGCGAACGGGUGAGUAACGCGUAGGUAACCUGCCUGGUAGCGGGGGAUAACUAUUGGAAACGAUAGCUAAUACCGCAUAAUAUUGAUUAUUGCAUGAUAAUUGAUUGAAAGAUGCUAUUGCAUCACUACCAGAUGGACCUGCGUUGUAUUAGCUAGUAGGUGAGGUAACGGCUCACCUAGGCGACGAUACAUAGCCGACCUGAGAGGGUGAUCGGCCACACUGGGACUGAGACACGGCCCAGACUCCUACGGGAGGCAGCAGUAGGGAAUCUUCGGCAAGGGACGAAAGCCUGACCGAGCAACGCCGCGUGAGUGAAGAAGGUUUUCGGAUCGUAAAGCUCUGUUGUAAGAGAAGAACGGGUGUGAGAGUGGAAAGUUCACACUGUGACGGUAUCUUACCAGAAAGGGACGGCUAACUACGUG
rnacentral:rRNA from 1 species